rnacentral:lncRNA from 1 species
GGUCAUCCUGAAGCAUUAAAUGCAAGACACUGGGGUUUGGCCCUUCCACAGCUUUUACUGUGGAAUCUGAUGCAUCUACAUGCACUUUGCUGAACUACGUGCAUCUUCCGUGUAAGAAAAAUCCGCUGUCAUGGGUUUAAUACAAGCUAAAACAUGAGAUGACUUCUAAAAUUCUGUAUGUAGAUGUGAGGCAUGUUAAUGCAGGAAUCAGCUGGCCCACCACUACACAUUUGAAGGGCAGGUAGAUCAUAAUGCAAGCAAAACUGCUGAUGGAUGCUGAUUUUACUACUUCCUUUUUAGUGGUGGUGUUUGUUUUUUUUUUUCCUUUAAAGGCAUAUUUUUCAACAUAGAUUUAUUUUUUUAUGUGCUAGUAUUGAGCGUUUAUGAAUCCCUACAAAUAACAUUUCCAGCUUUAGGAAUCAACCCACAUUGGAGAGGAAAACAAGGAUGUGAAAAUCUGCAUCUUAUUUGCAUGUAUAUUACUACAUAACUCUGAAGGUUAAUAAGAAGACAACCAGUUUUUUUUCAAGCAAUUAGCCAAGAAUUUACAAAAGCUCUGUUGAGAAUCACCAUGCUGUGCAGGUUUCCUAUAGCUUCUACUUUGUCCCAGAGCACCAUUCCAGUAGGGGGGGGGGGAAGGGGGGGAGGGAAAUUCAAUUAAUUAUACUGUUGUCAUGUUCAAUUUUUAUUAUCUUCCUAUGUGUCAAAGUUGUUGAUAGUAAACAAGAAAUGGAAUCAGCUUCAUUUUGACCUAAGACUUACAGGAGCAUCUUUCCUUACUCAAAGGGUCAAUUAAUGGGAACAGAAACAAAUCAGUGAUCCUUCAGUCCCAUUAGAAAUGAUGUCAAUUGGAAUGAGUCUUUGACCACUUAAUCUGUAAACUGCAACUGGCUUCUAAACCCCCCUCUUUUCUCAAGGACGUCCCCGAGUUGGUCGAACUACUCAGAGCAAAGAUUUAGUUAAGGCAGUGUUAAAAUAAAAGCACAAGCUGGAGAUCUGCUUCCAGCUCAUCAUAUGCACCUGGGAAUCUCAGAACAUAUUUGGCUUCAUCAGACUACCCAGCCAAUUAGUUGUUAAGUGACAGCGGUCGUGCAUUAGAAAAGGGAGUUGAAUGGCAGUGAACUGCGAGAGCUGGAAACCCACAGUAUCUGAAGAUAGAUGAAGUCCUGUCACUGCCACUAUUACUUGUCACAGGUGACUAAAAGGCAGUGGAGUUCAGCUUGCCAGGAUGAUGACUUUAUUAAAGUUUUUUCACCUUUAUUUCAAAUUCUUUUAGACAAGUCUAGGAAUUUUGCCUCUUAAGACACGGAGGGGUUACCUUCAGUUUGGGAAAAGGAUGUAAAACAUUCAAAAAUAAAUACACAGAUAAGUAAAGAAGUAUUUCUGUGCAUAUGCGACUAUAUUCAUGCCUGAGCUAAAACUGUACGAGUUGGAAAUUGUUUAAUUCAUAUCAAGUAAGGAUAAGUAUAUAGCUAAAUAACUUUGGACCUGAGUAAAGGGAGAAGCUUCCAAAAAACCCAAUACGUCUGCAUGUUUUACCAAAAACCUUAUGAAAUCUACUUUUUUAUUAUUAUAUUUAGUGAAAGUCUUGAAUAUGUGCAGUGUCAUGAUCCAACAGAUGCUAGUUACUGCCUGCAGUUUCACAAUCCAUUCACCAUAAAACACGCCUUUUAUAACAGAAAAAAUUCACUGAAUUACUUAAUCAAUACCACUUGGUGUCAGAUUAUAUGUAACAGAAAUAAUCUCUUGUUUAAGGAUUUCUCUCCAAAUAGCAACUCAGUGAGAACAGGGGCUCCUUAGCAUCUCAGCGCUCAUUCAUGUCCACUUGGAAUACUAGAUGCACGGUUGAGAAAUCUGCAAGAAAUUAAGGAAGUUUGGAUUUGCCUAGUAAUACUUUGACUUGGUAGCAUAACUGCUACCAAGACUUGAAAUAAUAAAUCUGUGAUGGAAGCUGUGUAGGGCACACCUGGCAUGACGGAUGGUGAUAGUCAUACUUUUGUUGUCAGCUGCGGGCACCACGCGUUAUGCCAAAUGCUUUCCCCAUUCCCAAGGCAUCCAAGGAACCCAGCUGGAAAAUAAGUCUGACUUCUCAGUGAUCUUACUCUGUUCCCACUAUUUCAGUCUUAAUGCAUAAAACUUUCUCCUGGGCUGGACUUUCACUAAGUAAUUAUUAAUUGACCUUCUGUGUCUAUGUAAAAUGAAGCAGAAUACUCCUUCUGCUCACUCAUCCUGUAGCUAAGGAACAACAAAAGGUGUUUGGCAACUUUGGUGCCAACCUUUGGUGGCCCUUCUUAACCUGUCCAGGAAGCUCCCAGGGCUUUAUCUUCUUCAUAACUGACAUGUUUGACUUCCCAGUGCUUUACAAAUGAUUCUUGUCUUCAGCAAAUAAGUUUAACUUCGAACAUACAUGUAUUCAAUAUAUAUUGUUAUCAAGCUGAUUAAAGACCUUUACUCAACACAGCACGUAUAAUUCUGAGUUAAUAAUGCCUGUUAAUUUAUGCUAGAUUAUCAACAAUUUAUCAAUAAACAGUCCAGAGAAGUAGGGAAGACUACUCUAUUUGCAGUUGUUUGUUAAAUAUUUUGUUGUACCUCAAAUGUACUUCAGAUCAUGAUAAAACUGCCCAUUUUGUUGAAUUAACUUCACUAAUUUGCUGCAUUUUAAAAGUUUUUAGGAAAAGUAAAUUGGCAUCUGGAAUGUGGGUGUUUACACCAUUCACUGUUUCAGCAUAACAGAAACUGCAGCAACAUAUCUCAAUUUUCCCUGCCCUAGAUUCAGGAAAUGAUGCAAGUUAAUUUCUGUUGUAAGUGCUCAGGAAUAUGUCAACCUGAUGAAGGAUAUUUUCUGGAUCUGAAAUACUGACACAUCUGGCUCGAUAUACAGGUGAGAGUUCCUAAAAUAAAGCUACUUUAAAUAUAUAUUUUGCUUAAAAUAGCCGAGACUUGCUUAGAAUAAUUCCAGUUCUCCUCAAGCUUAAAUGAGACACCCACAUACCAGACCAUUCCAUCUCCUAUUUUAAUG